rnacentral:rRNA from 1 species
CCUACGGGCGGCAGCAGUGAGGAAUAUUGGUCAAUGGACGAGAGCCUGAACCAGCCAAGUAGCGUGAAGGAUGACGGCCCUCGGGGUUGUAAACUUCUUUUGUCAAGGAAUAAAACGAGGCACGUGUGCCUUUUUGCAUGUACUUUAUGAAAAAGGAUCGGCUAACUCCGUGCCAGCAGCCGCGGUAAUACGGAGGAUCCGAGCGUUAUCCGGAUUUAUUGGGUUUAAAGGGAGCGUAGAUGGGUUGUUAAGUCAGGUGUGAAAGUUUGCGGCUCAACCGUAAAAUUGCAAUUGAUACUGGCAGUCUUGAGUACGGUUGAGGUAAGCGGAAUUCGUGGUGUAGCGGUGAAAUGCUUAGAUAUCACGAAGAACCCCGAUUGCGAAGGCAGCUUACUAAACUGUGACUGACGUUGAGGCUCGAAAGUGUGGGGAUCAAACAGGAUUAGAUACCCGGGUAGUC